rnacentral:tRNA from 1 species
GGUGGUCAUGGCGCGGAACGCCGCGCGCACCAUACCGGGAAUCUGGUCGGCGCGAUCGAUGGUUCGGUUCCAUUUGGUCAGCG